UACGUAGGGGGCUAGCGUUGUCCGGAUUUAUUGGGCGUAAAGAGCGUGUAGGCGGCCAUGUAGGUCCGGUGUGAAAACUCGAGGCUUAACCUCGAGAUGUCAUCGGAAACCAUUUGGCUAGAGUCCGGAAGAGGAGAGUGGAAUUCCUGGUGUAGCGGUGAAAUGCGCAGAUAUCAGGAAGAACACCCGUGGCUAAGGCGGUUCUCUAGUACGGUACUGACGCUGAGACGCGAAAGCGUGGGGAGCGAACAGG
rnacentral:rRNA from 1 species